CACAGAGAGCUUGCUCUCGGGUGACGAGUGGCGGACGGGUGAGUAAUGUCUGGGAAACUGCCUGAUGGAGGGGGAUAACUACUGGAAACGGUAGCUAAUACCGCAUAACGUCGCAAGACCAAAGAGGGGGACCUUCGGGCCUCUUGCCAUCAGAUGUGCCCAGAUGGGAUUAGCUAGUAGGUGGGGUAACGGCUCACCUAGGCGACGAUCCCUAGCUGGUCUGAGAGGAUGACCAGCCACACUGGAACUGAGACACGGUCCAGACUCCUACGGGAGGCAGCAGUGGGGAAUAUUGCACAAUGGGCGCAAGCCUGAUGCAGCCAUGCCGCGUGUAUGAAGAAGGCCUUCGGGUUGUAAAGUACUUUCAGCGGGGAGGAAGGCGAUAAGGUUAAUAACCUUGUCGAUUGACGUACCCGCAGAAGAAGCACCGGCUAACUCCGUGCCAGCAGCCGCGUAAUACGAGG
rnacentral:rRNA from 1 species